rnacentral:rRNA from 1 species
CCUGCCCUUAACUCUGGGAUAAGCCUGGGAAACUGGGUCUAAUACCGGAUAUGACCCGUCACCGCAUGGUGGUGGGAGGAAAGAUUUUUUGGUUUUGGAUGGACUCGCGGCCUAUCAGCUUGUUGGUGAGGUAAUGGCUCACCAAGGCGACGACGGGUAGCCGGCCUGAGAGGGUGACCGGCCACACUGGGACUGAGACACGGCCCAGACUCCUACGGGAGGCAGCAGUGGGGAAUAUUGCACAAUGGGCGCAAGCCUGAUGCAGCGACGCCGCGUGAGGGAUGAAGGCCUUCGGGUUGUAAACCUCUUUCAGUAGGGAAGAAGCGAAAGUGACGGUACCUGCAGAAGAAGCGCCGGCUAACUACGUGCCAGCAGCCGCGGUAAUACGUAGGGCGCAAGCGUUAUCCGGAAUUAUUGGGCGUAAAGAGCUCGUAGGCGGUUUGUCGCGUCUGCCGUGAAAGUCCGGGGCUCAACUCCGGAUCUGCGGUGGGUACGGGCAGACUAGAGUGAUGUAGGGGAGACUGGAAUUCCUGGUGUA